AUUGAACGCUGGCGGAAUGCUUUACACAUGCAAGUCGAACGGUAGAGGGGGCAACCCCUCGAGAGUGGCGAACGGGUGAGCAAUAUAUCGGAACGUGCCCAGUCGUGGGGGAUAACGUAGCGAAAGUUACGCUAAUACCGCAUACGAUCUAAGGAUGAAAGCGGGGGAUCGCAAGACCUCGCGCGAUUGGAGCGGCCGAUAUCAGAUUAGGUAGUUGGUGGGGUAAAGGCUCACCAAGCCAACGAUCUGUAGCUGGUCUGAGAGGACGACCGACCACACUGGAACUGAGACACGGUCCAGACUCCUACGGGAGGCAGCAGUGGGGAAUUUUGGACGAGGGACGCAAGUCUGAUCCAGCCAUUCCGCGUGCAGGAUGAAGGCCCUCGGGUUGUAAACUGCUUUUGUACGGAACGAAAAGGUCUCUCUUAAUACGGGGGACUCAUGACGGUACCGUAAGAAUAAGCACCGGCUAACUACGUGCCAGCCGCCGCCGUAAAAC
rnacentral:rRNA from 1 species